AGCGAACGCUGGCGGCAGGCUUAACACAUGCAAGUCGAACGCCCCGCAAGGGGAGUGGCAAACGGGUGAGUAACACGUGGGAACGUACCCUUUGGUUCGGAAUAACUUGGGGAAACUCAAGCUAAUACCGGAUAAGCCCUUAUGGGGAAAGGUUUACUGCCGAAGGAUCGGCCCGCGUCUGAUUAGCUAGUUGGUGGGGUAAUGGCUCACCAAGGCGACGAUCAGUAGCUGGUCUGAGAGGAUGAUCAGCCACACUGGGACUGAGACAAGGCCCAGACUCCUACGGGAGGCAGCAGUGGGGAAUAUUGGACAAUGGGGGCAACCCUGAUCCAGCCAUGCCGCGUGAGUGAUGAAGGCCUUAGGGUUGUAAAGCUCUUUUACCCGGGACGAUAAUGACCGUACCGGGAGAAUAAGCCCCGGCUAACUUCGUGCCAGCCGCCGCCGUAA
rnacentral:rRNA from 1 species